rnacentral:tRNA from 1 species
UUGUCGACGGCUGCCGGGGCGGCGCCGACCCCCUCGGUCGGAGCUGGGACGGAUCAGCGGACGUUACGGUUCCGCUCCCCGGCCGACAGAC